UAAACUUGGAACGACACAUUCAUUCUGAAGGUCCUGGAAGGGAAAACAUUUCUUCAUGCAAAACUUUCCAGAUGAAACUCAGUUCCGGGAAGGCUAAAUAGGUUGGAAAGGGAGAAAAGUGGCCAGUUGAGGAAGACAGAAAAGCCUGAACGAGGAUGCAAAAUUCUAAGGAUGGAUCAUCACAGGCCCAGCCUGGAGGAGUGAAGGGCUUGGGAGCGCGAAGACGUGGAGAAGGUUCCCAGGGUUUUCCCCAGGACUCCAAAGAUACCCAGAGAAGGAGGCUUCCAGAUGAUGUAAAAUUGGGUACCAAGAAGGCAGACUUUGGAUUGUUGGGGUUGACAAGAUGGGAACACACAGCCUCGUGUGAUUUCACAGCCCUGCGAAGAGGGACGUAACCUAGCAGCACAGACACCUGUGGACACACACAGGUGAUGAGCUGUUUUUAUUAAGAGCCACAUCUGA